rnacentral:rRNA from 1 species
AUUGAACGCUGGCGGCAGGCCUCACACAUGCAAGUCGCACGAGUGGCGGACGGGUGAGUAGUGUCUGGGAAAUUGCCUGAUGGAGGGGGAUAACUACUGGAAACGGUAGCUAAUACCGCAUACCAUCGGAUGUGCCCAGAUGGGAUUAGCUAGGAGGUGGGGUAACGGCUCACCGAGGCGACGAUCCCUAGCUGGUCUGAGCGGAUGACCAGCCAAACUGGAACGUAGACACGGGCCAGAAUCCUACGAGAGGCAGCAGUGGGGAAUAUUGCACAAUGGGCGCAAGCCUGAUGCAGCCAUGCCUCGUGUAUGAAGAAUGCCUUCGGGUUGGAAAGUACUUUCAGCGGGGAGGCGUUACCCGCAGAAGAAGCACUGGCUAACUCCGUGCCAGCCGCCGCGGUAAUUC